CUUUCGGACAGACAGCGAAAGGCUCGCUGCUUAUUAAUGAAUACAAGACGCAUUUUGUCGAAUGUUACGUUUUACUGUAGAAGCAUCAGGCUUCUCGUUGUUCAGGCAGCGAAAAUAAGGUUCGCUGGCCAUUUAGUGAGUAUAAAUUUCACAAAUGAGGAACCAGUAGUAGGGCUCGGAAAUUAUUAUUUUCGGACACCAAAGGACCAACCACUUCAGACAGGGUCAAAUUGUGAGGCAGACUCAGCAGUCGGAACCAACACCAAAUCGUCAGUCAACGUGGAUGGCUGAGGAGUGAAACAGUAAUGGUGGAUACAGGCAAUCUGUUCUCCUUGUAGUAAUGCCAGGUCAGUUUUCAAGAUUUAUGAAGGCAUUUGAUAUUUGUGCAUUUAUGAGGAAGAGAAGGAUUCCAUCCAUUUAAACGUUCAAAGAUGCACAACUGUAGAAUAUUUAGAUGGUAUAUUGGUUUGUUGUAAAGAUUGUAUCACAUUUAUUAUGAAUUGAG